rnacentral:lncRNA from 1 species
GAAACACGCCAAAGAUCUAAAAUCCUAGCUAAGACCCUAGGGCCCCCAAAUCCUGAUAUUUACCGGCAUACACCUAAAUGAAGUGCUUUUGUAAUUCUUAAAAGGGUGCAAAAAAAGGAGAGGAUAAGAAAAGCAAAAGAAGAAGGACUGCCUGUUCCUAAGUCAAGGUGUAAGUUCAUCAAAAUAACAGAAUGUUAAGCAGUGCUGGAAAAGUCCAGCAGCACUGCAACCAGGAAUUUUUUACAAAAUAUCCCAGCAGGAAAUUUUCUUGCAUCUUACCAUCUUAUACUGGAAUGCCAUAUCACUUACCUGUUGUUAAUUUUAAGCGUUUUGCAAUUUGAGGUUAUUUUGAUGCGAAAUUGAAGUUAAUCACAAUUAAUGUGCGGCCCCAUACUGUACAUUCUCUGAAGUCUACAUAUAUGCAGGAAGUGUUAUAUUUGCCUUACACAGGGAAUUUUUAUUUUUCGAUUUUGCUGCCAGGAAGAUAAAUAUAUUUUCUACGCCUGAUGUUAGGUAUAGUGUUUAGCCAAUGAAAAGGACUCAUCAGGGUUAACCAUGCAAUGUCAUGGCCAAUGCAAGUCAAUAAUUCCAAAGAAAUACUAUAGACGUCUACGGUAGACUAGCAUUCAUUGUUAAAUAAAAUUAUCUCAGUCAGUAAUCUGAUUUGUUAAAAUAUUUGGUUGACAUUCGCAAAACGUCAACUUUCCAGUUCUGGCUAUGCUUUUUUAAUCAGUUCCAGCCAAAACCGGAACACUUAAGGCUUUUGGAAAAAAUAAGGCUUUUGCCUGGAUUAACUAUGGGUAAUAAUACUCUUUCAGGACUUGAAGAAAUAUGGUCUGACAAACCAUUUUCUUUUUGGCAAGUCAAAUGAAUUAUGUGGCCUGCAAUUUCUGUUUUUCAAACUGCCAAAAUGGUCCAACUCAGCUAUGAAGGAAACAAAUGUAAAUUUUCCCCCUGACUUUUGUAUAUUUCAAUCAUUUAUGUAUUUGCCCUACCCCGGUGUUAAUGCUUUGAAGGUAAUUUAAGGAUACUAGCAUGUGAUAAACAACGGAAAUGAUAAAAACAAAUAAUGUAGGAUUUUGCCUAUGUAUGGCCUGCCUUUGUUCAUUGGCAGACUGCUAUUUCAAUCUGAGAGCUGCUCUUUCAAGUUUGUACACUACCGUAUCUCCAAAUCUUCUAGCUAUCAGAAGAAAAGGGUUAAAGAAAAUGGACUGUGAUGAAGCGUUACCUGUGAGAAUUGUCAUUGACUUGUCAUUUGAAGCGUACAUGGAUGAUAGUGUAAGUAACCUAAACUGGCUUAUCAUAAAUUUUAAGUUUUGAAAAAUUUCUGAAUUAAAACUUCAGCGUGGUAGCAGGGGGUGGGGGAGGAGCCAAGGCAACUCCCCCAACCCCAAAUAGAUGAUAUUUUCAGUAGGGUUUACUAGGGGUGCACCGGAACUCGGUUCCGGCCGGUUAGUUCCGGCCGGAACCCCGAUUUUUUAGAGUUCCGGUUCCGGCCGGAACUAGUAAAAAAAGCAUGGCCGGAACCGGAACUCUGUUGUUUUCAGAGAGAUAGAAUAUCAAACGUUUUUGUGUCUAACAAAAGGUCACAGUAGGAAGAAAUUUGGACUACGCAAGGGAAAUGUACACUACUAAC